GACGAACGCUGGCGGCGUGCUUAACACAUGCAAGUCGAACGGUGAAGCGAAUGCCUGCACUCGUGGAUCAGUGGCGAACGGGUGAGUAACACGUGAGUAACCUGCCCAUCACUCUGGGAUAAGCACUGGAAACGGUGUCUAAUACUGGAUACGACCAACCCUUGCAUGGGGUGUUGGUGGAAAGAUUUAUCGGUGAUGGAUGGACUCGCGGCCUAUCAGCUUGUUGGCGGGGUAAUGGCCCACCAAGGCGACGACGGGUAGCCGGCCUGAGAGGGUGACCGGCCACACUGGGACUGAGACACGGCCCAGACUCCUACGGGAGGCAGCAGUGGGGAAUAUUGCACAAUGGGCGAAAGCCUGAUGCAGCGACGCCGCGUGAGGGAUGACGGCCUUCGGGUUGUAAACCUCUUUCAGCAGGGAAGAAGCGAAAGUGACGGUACCUGCAGAAGAAGCACCGGCUAACUACGUG
rnacentral:rRNA from 1 species